rnacentral:tRNA from 1 species
GCCCUAGUAGUUUAUAAAUAAAACACUAACCUGUGGAACUAGAAAAGGAAUCACACCAACUUUUCCCUACGGGU